AAAAAAUUGUCCCAUUUUGAUGUUUUGAUUAGGGAUUGUAAACUGUUGAAUAUAAAGCCGCCUUAAAAUCUAAUUACUACAGAAUCUCUUGAUGUCGCCAUAAAAUUUUCCCCUCGACCACCUCAGUAUUUCACCGACGCGCGCCGUCCGGGUUUCUUGUUACUGAUUCAUCGUCUUAAUGUUAUGCAGGUACGGAUGAAUGUUCUUAGCUUACUUGUAAAUCCGGUGCCAUACAUUUCUCAUAUCCUCUCGUUGUAUUGAGAAAGUACAAUGAUCUCUGCAGAAAUGAUGCCAAAGGAAUCACAGGAGCCGUUAGAUUUGGUUUGUUGUUCGUUGUUCGGCCGAUGAUUGCGCCAAAGUUCUGAUGGGUUCUCAGCCUAUUCCACUCGCGGUUCAUGCAAUGGCUGCGGAAUCUGAACAUAUGCAGCUUGUGUUUCUGAUGCCAUGUAAGUUGAAAGCUCGCUUCGAGCUACUGGGAGCUCGUUUUGAAGAUCUUCAAGUCUCUUUUGAAGAAUUGAAAUAAAGCGGAUGCAGCCACACAUAGGCUCAUGCAGCCAAGCCUCUGCCUCAUAGACCAAAGAGUCGACAGCUUCAUUGCGCACAUCAUAGCUAAAAAAUGCACAACUUCUGUGAACAAUUUGGAAUUUCUGAAGCUGGUCUGCUGGAAAAUGUGGCGCAAAAAUGCAAUCUGGAAGACACUUUCUUCUUAGAAGUUUACAGGCCGCACAUGGUGAGCCGUAAUUAACUAAAGGCUUAUCAGAUUGGGAUUUAGACGAACUCAAUCAACAAAACUGGUUCUCUUGUUUACUUCUCACGAGAUAUUCACUCCAAUUACUAUACUUGUAUGUAUACUAAUUUUCUUAUCUAUUAAAAUAAGAAUUUUAAG